AGAAGCUCUUGCAAUUGGGAGACAAUAACCCACAAUUCCUCAGAGACAGAGAGAGAGAGAGAGAGAGAGAGAGAGAGAGAGAGAGAGAGAAAGAGACAGAGACAGAGGGAAAUAGAGAAGAACCAUUGGCUCAAUUCUAAUAAUAUGCUGUUCAGCAUCAGAAGGAUUUGUGGCCUGCUGUGUCACCCAAGAUAAGGAAUUUCAUUGUUCUGGCUUCCAUACUCAGCCUGACCUAUUCAUCCUAAAUAAGGUAAUCCUAGAGCAAAUUUUGUUUCACGCACAUGAUCAUCACAGGAAUAGAAAAAUAGACCUGCCAUCACACAAGCAGAAACUGACAUAUUAGUACAGAUUUAUACUUAGUUAAAGAGUUUCAGAUCAUAAAUUCCCCCUAAAUUCAAGACAUUUAAUUUUAAGAACAUCUGUCAUCAGUAAAAGUGUAUUUCAG
rnacentral:lncRNA from 1 species